ensembl:lncRNA
CUGGAUCAGAACAGCUCUGGAGACUUCUCUCAGUGGAAUCUGAGCCGAGUCCUGUGUGCUCCAGUGAAAACACAAGACCUGAGUUUCUAGACUGUCCUGGAGUCAUGGGUUUCAGCUUCCUGUUUAGAGGUGCCAUUUUGAGGACUUUUCACCAAUCAAAUAAUCUCAUUCAUAACAAGAUUAAAGAAUAUGAUGGUAGUUCCUGGUUGCUCCACGUGAGGGCGCCACAGGAGCACAUUUACAGCACUGCAGUGGUCUCAUUUCAAUAUUUUAUACACAGAAUAACUGUUUUUCAUUCAAAUACAGCCAGAAAAC